rnacentral:lncRNA from 1 species
CUGCUUUAUCUGGCCAAUAUUAUCCUACAAUUUCAAACUGUUUAGUAUAUAUUGCCGCACUUGCUAAUUUAUUUGCUGAUUUUAACGAGGGAGGGAAAAUUUGUGAAAAUGCAAUAUUUGAAAUGAAAAAGAAAUUUAAAAAAUAUUUUUUUUCCAAUCCUUCCUAUUUUUGGUGUGGCUGCUAUGUUAAAUCCUACUAUGAAAGCAGAAGGUCCUAACUUUUGUUAUAAUAGUAUUUAUCAAUCUUUAGAUCUUUCACCAGAAGAAAUGGCAACACUAUCUGAUGCG